rnacentral:rRNA from 1 species
UACGGAGGGUGCAAGCGUUAUCCGGAUUCACUGGGUUUAAAGGGUGCGUAGGCGGGCAGGUAAGUCCGUGGUGAAAUCCCCGAGCUUAACUCGGGAACUGCCAUGGAUACUAUUUGUCUUGAAUAUUGUGGAGGUAAGCGGAAUAUGUCAUGUAGCGGUGAAAUGCUUAGAUAUGACAUAGAACACCAAUUGCGAAGGCAGCUUACUACACAGUUAUUGACACUGAGGCACGAAAGCGUGGGGAUCAAACAGG